rnacentral:rRNA from 1 species
AUUGAACGCUGGCGGCAGGCCUAACACAUGCAAGUCGAACGAGUGGCGGACGGGUGAGUAAUGUCUGGGAAACUGCCUGAUGGAGGGGGAUAACUACUGGAAACGGUAGCUAAUACCGCAUACCAUCAGAUGUGCCCAGAUGGGAUUAGCUAGUUGGUGGGGUAAAGGCUCACGAAGGCGACGAUCCCUAGCUGGUAUGAGAGGAUGACCAGCCACACGGGAACGGGUACACGUCCCAGACUCGUACGGGAGGCAGCAUUGGGGAAUAUUGCAGAAUGGGCGCAACCCUGAUGCAGCCAGGCCGCGUGUAUGAAGAAGGCCUUCGGGUUGUAAAGUACUUUCAGCGGGGAGGCGUUACCCGCAGAAGAAGCACCGGCUAACUCCGUGCCAGCAGCCGCGGUAAUAC